UUGCGAUAUAGCAUAUGAUUUGUCAUUUGAACGACAUAAAAACUCAAUGUUGACGAUUUCGAAUGGCAAUCAUCCAAAAAAUGGUGGAUUCAAAAUCGAAUGACUUCAUGUCUGUAUUGGAAUGAACAGUCUGUGAUAUUCGAAGGAUAGACAUAACGCCAUAUGAAUUAUUUGCACCCAAAAAAGUAAACGAUAGUGCUUAUUAUUAUCAUCUCAACUAACAGUAGUUGAUCAUUCGUGUUUCAUCUGUUUCCAGUGUUUGGGCUGGCUCGAAUGACAGUCAUUUGAAGCGCUUCAUGCGUUUGCGAGAUAAGUUUUUUCAUUAUUUCUGUGCAGUCGCAAAAAGUCAGUUCGCAACAUCAAAACGUGAAAAAACUGCUGCUUGUCAUCUUCAAGACUAACGUACCCUAGAAAAAUUGCUUUGGAGCUGAUUUCCUGGUAUUGGGAGAGAAACUAGCGUCCGGAUCAAAGGAUUUAUUUGCAUAUUUUGGAGCAAUGCCACUGACAUGGUGUCUUUCAACAUACAGGGAAUAGCCGUUAUUUAGUGCAAAUAACUGGUCAAAGCCAUAGUAUGCAAGGCAAAGAGGGAGUACUGGAAAGGGAGUGAAAUAUACAAUAGGAUGGAUGCCAAAUAGCUGUCAAUUGAUGACUAUGUUGAUCGGAACUAUUAUUCUGGUGAAAUGGUGGCACUAACGAUUCAAUAUCGUACGGGAAUCACAGCCCUAGGAACCACGAGUCCCAAGAGAUUGUAGUUACAGGUAUUCCUAUCCCAAGGUUUGGAAAAUUUCCACGCGACCGGCACUAGGUGAUGGCCAAAUCUACUGGUUUCACAUAGCCGUCUUAGUCCCUGAAUCAGAUUCGAGAGCUAGACGGAUCGCAUGAUAUGCAACAUGAAGAGCCAAUGUUCGAUCUGCUUUGGUUCUAUCCCGAUGACCAUGGCGGCUGAACUACAUUGCCCCACAAUGCUGAUUACCUUUGGAAAUGUACAAUCAAUUAAACAAUCUGACGCAGGUAUUUCAGUUUUAUUAUGGAAGGGUUCAAUUUAUAGCAUUAAGCACUAUUUACACUUAUCCGAUCCGUUUCAGUUCCGUGCACGGACACCAAUAUUCUUUCAUACAAAUCAAAAGCGAGCAUUCACACUUGUCCGGCACGGUGCUGUGUGCUCACAUUUGAAGCGUGUAAAAUAAUAUUGGCAUUCGUGCACGGUACUGAACCGUUGCCAAAGCGGAUCGGAAAGGUGUUACUUUGACUUUAUCGUUAUGUUGUUACAAUAUUCUCUGCACAAAAGUACACUAAAAAAAUCGAAACGUUAAUUCUAUUUGUUUCAAACCGCUUAAAAUUCAUAUGAAGAAGAAAUGCUAUUGUUAUCGAGCGCACACAUACCUUCUAUGUGUCAAUUGUAUAAACUAUGUAUGCACACACAUAAGUUAUAUGUGCAUAUUGUUAUAGAAUGGGGUUUUAUGUGCCUAAUAAUUAUGAAAUGUGAAUGUAAGAUUAAUAUUUAUUGUAAAUACACACAUUAGGUUUAUGUGCCAGUAAAUAGUGUCGUAAACGUAUACUUCCGCAAUAGUGCAAAAAUCUAUAAACCAAUAGGCAUAACGUUUACUUUUUUAAGUGUACUAUGAUUGUGGUUAAUAUACAGGUGGCAUUCAUGACACACGCCUGUUUACGAAUAUUUUGACGCAUGAGAAUUUUUUCAAAAAGACAUCUGCAAUGAGUUACUCUCUUUGUUUACUUUCUCUUUCGAUUUUUACGGUGUCACUAUAACGCUUUUCACUUAUUUUACAGUACAGAUCGAAAGACGGUGGUUUUAAGUAGCAUAUUAUGACCAGACUUGAGGGAUAAAUGUUAAAGUGACCGAAUUAUUAACAGAAGAGAAAGUAAACAAAGAGAGUAACUCAUUGCAGAUAUGACUUUUUGAAAAAACGCUCAAGAAUUGCGUCCCACUAUUCACCAUCUUGCUGUAAUAGUGAUUUAUUUCCUCUUUUCAGAAAACACCAGCACCGCACAAACGUAAGAGAUUCUGUGAUGGACCAACGUUGCCGCAAGAGAACACUGGUAGCAAUAGGUUUGUUCCAGUACCAGGAGAAACUGGAACAAAUCGGAGUGAAAAGGAGCAAGAAUGUUUUGUUCCGGAGCAACAGGGAGUGACUUCCGUGUACUGGAACAAACCUAAUCAUUGUUAGCAGAAAGGAAACCACUCUUUUGCGCUCAAGCAAGAAACCAAGUCACCCAGCAAUUUUUAAGUUUACCGUAAAACUUGAAGGCACUGAGCUAGAUCAGCAACCUCCCGGUGCGAUUGUUAAAAGUCGAUCAACGAUCCAGUAGAAUUACGCACUAGACAAGAGAAUAUGUCCGGAAUUACAAAUUCUGACUCAUCAGAAAAAUAUCUUUAAAAAAGCACUAGCUCGGAAACGGUAUCAAUCGAAACUAUGAAAAGUUUCGACUGACUCCGACGCAAAUUCCGGAAACUUUUCUUCGUUGAUUGCGCGAAUAUUAUAUUCUGGUACUGCUGGGUAAAUUUCACAUUGAAGAAUAAUUCCGUUGCUAGCUGCCAUGAUUCAGCAUCGAGAGAUAGAACCUAUAGUCGAGAUCGAACCAAGAGAGCAAGGCAAACCGUUGUCACUAAACGCCCUAGCACUAAACUAAAACAAGUUAUAUUACACAUAAGAUAUAACUUUCUCCGCUGAAGGAAGGCAACAAAUUUUUACCGUUAAAUUUGAAUACUGCGUAAUUGUCUCUCUUCGUUUACUUUCGUAGUCACCGAUGUUACGUAACAUGUUUUAACUGAAGAAUUUUUUUUUGAAGACUCACGUACCGGGGGAGUAGCGAUAAAAAAAGUUGUGGUUCAGCCGGAAAUGAACUGGAUUUCUGGCUGGUUCCAGUUCGUAUUCUGGCUCCAGUAACACAACCGAUUCUAAUUAGCCACUAAAGUCGGAAUACGAACUGGAACCAGCCAGAAUUCCGGUUCAUUUCCGGCUGAGCUUAACUGGGUGCUAAAGCUGUAAGAUUGUCAUGAUGACAUUCACACAGAAAAAAAUGUUGGUAAAAAUAAGAGUUUUUCACUCUUAGCAAAAAAGAACCAACGCAUACUCUUAGUUUGAAAAUAAAACUUUUAUUUUGAAUACUAUUCUUCAUUAGCUUAAAAGGAAAACUUUUAUUUUGAUUAUUAUUCUUGAUUAAUUUAAAAGUUUUACUUUCAACCUGAUAGUAGGCGUUAGUUGUUUUUUGCUAAGAGCGGAACACUCUUACUUUUACCAAUAUUUUUUUUCUGUGUGUUGGUAACGAAACUAUAUUAAGCAAAGUGUCAAAAGUUUGAAUUCAAUAUGAGGUUUUUUAUACAACGGUAGCAUGUUACAAGCAUUUGGAUUGUGUUUUGAUGUUUUUAGAAUAUAUUAUUUUGAUCAAUAGUU